rnacentral:rRNA from 1 species
GACGAACGCUGGCGGCGUGCUUAACACAUGCAAGUCGAACGGAAAGGCCCUGCUUUUGUGGGGUGCUCGAGUGGCGAACGGGCGAGUAGCACGUGAGUAACCUGCCCUUGACUUUGGGAUAACUUCAGGAAACUGGGGCUAAUACCGGAUAGGAGCUCCUGCUGCAUGGUGGGGGUUGGAAAGUUUCGGCGGUUGGGGAUGGACUCGCGGCUUAUCAGCUUGUUGGUGGGGUAGUGGCUUACCAAGGCUUUGACGGGUAGCCGGCCUGAGAGGGUGACCGGCCACAUUGGGACUGAGAUACGGCCCAGACUCCUACGGGAGGCAGCAGUGGGGAAUAUUGCACAAUGGGCGGAAGCCUGAUGCAGCAACGCCGCGUGCGGGAUGACGGCCUUCGGGUUGUAAACCGCUUUCGCCUGUGACGAAGCGUGAGUGACGGUAAUGGGUAAAGAAGCACCGGCUAACUACGUG